rnacentral:rRNA from 1 species
AACGCGUAGGAAUCUNCCUGACAGUGGGGGAUAACUUAGGGAAACUUAAGCUAAUACCGCAUACGCCCUACGGGGGAAAGCGGGGGACUCUUGUAGCCUCGCGCUGACAGAUGAGCCUGCGUCCGAUUAGCUAGUUGGCGGGGUAAUAGCCCACCAAGGCGACGAUCGGUAGCUGGUCUGAGAGGACGAUCAGCCACACUGGGACUGAGACACGGCCCAGACUCCUACGGGAGGCAGCAGUGGGGAAUAUUGGACAAUGGGCGCAAGCCUGAUCCAGCAAUGCCGCGUGUGUGAAGAAGGCCUGCGGGUUGUAAAGCACUUUCGGGGGGGAAGAAAAGUUAGCUGCUAAUAUCAGCUAAUCUUGACGUUACUCCAAUAAGAAGCACC